UGGGGAAUAUUGCACAAUGGGCGCAAGCCUGAUGCAGCCAUGCCGCGUGUAUGAAGAAGGCCUUCGGGUUGUAAAGUACUUUCAGCGAGGAGGAAGGCGUUGUGGUUAAUAACCGCAGCGAUUGACGUUACUCGCAGAAGAAGCACCGGCUAACUCCGUGCCAGCAGCCGCGGUAAUACGGAGGGUGCAAGCGUUAAUCGGAAUUACUGGGCGUAAAGCGCACGCAGGCGGUCUGUCAAGGCGGAUGUGAAAUCCCCGGGCUCAACCUGGGAACUGCAUCCGAAACUGGCAGGCUAGAGUCUUGUAGAGGGGGGUAGAAUUCCAGGUGUAGCGGUGAAAUGCGUAGAGAUCUGGAGGAAUACCGGUGGCGAAGGCGGCCCCCUGGACAAAGACUGACGCUCAGGUGCGAAAGCGUGGGGAGCAAACA
rnacentral:rRNA from 1 species